rnacentral:tRNA from 1 species
GAGGCUAUAGCUCAGAGGUAGAGCCCAGGCUUAGCAUGCAUGAGGUCCUGGGUUCAAUCCCCAGGACCUCC